CAGGACUGUUGUAGAGGUACUGAGACAGGACUGUUGUAGAGGUACUGAGACAGGACUGUUGUAGAGGUACUGAGACAGACAGGACUGUUGUAGAGGUACUGAGACAGACAGGACUGUUGUAGAGGUACUGAGACAGACAGGACUGUUGUAGAGGUACUGAGACAGACAGGACUGUUGUAGAGGUACUGAGACAGACAGGACUGUUGUAGAGGUACUGAGACAGACAGGACUGUUGUAGAGGUACUGAGACAGACAGGACUGUUGUAGAGGUACUGAGACAGACAGGACUGUUGUAGAGGUACUGAGACAGACAGGACUGUUGUAGAGGUACUGAGACAGACAGGACUGUUGUAGAGGUACUGAGACAGACAGGACUGUUGUAGAGGUACUGAGACAGACAGGACUGUUGUAGAGGUACUGAGACAGGACUGUUGUAGAGGUACUGAGACAGGACUGUUGUAGAGGUACUGAGACAGACAGGACUGUUGUAGAGGUACUGAGACAGACAUGACUGUUGUAGAGGUACUGAGACAGACAGGACUGUUGUAGAGGUGCUGAGACAGACAGGACUGUUACAGAGGUACUGAGACAGACAGGACUGUUGUAGAGGUACUGAGACAGACAGGACUGUUGUAGAGGUACUGAGACAGACAGGACUGUUGUAGAGGUACUGAGACAGACAGGACU